rnacentral:rRNA from 1 species
UACGGAGGGUGCAAACGUUGCUCGGAAUCAUUGGGCGUAAAGCGCACGUAGGCGGCUAGAUAAGUCGGGUGUGAAAGCCCUGGGCUCAACCCAGGAAGUGCAUUCGAAACUGUCUAGCUUGAAUCUCGGAGGGGGUCAGAGAAUUCCCGGUGUAGAGGUGAAAUUCGUAGAUAUCGGGAGGAAUACCAGUGGCGAAGGCGCUGACCUGGACGAAGAUUGACGCUGAGGUGCGAAAAGCGCGGGGGAGCAAACAGG